ACGGGGGCCCGCACAAGCGGAGGAGCAUGUGGUUUAAUUCGAUGAUACGCGAGGAACCUUACCUGGGCUCGAACGUAAGAUGACUGUAGGUGAAAGCUUACAUCUCUUCGGAGCAUUUUACGAGGUGCUGCAUGGUUGUCGUCAGCUCGUGCCGUGAGGUGUCGGGUUAAGUCCCAUAACGAGCGCAACCCCUACCUUUAGUUGCCAUCAGGUUAAGCUGGGGACUCUAAAGGAACUGCCUACGCAAGUAGUGAGGAAGGCGGGGAUGACGUCAAAUCAGCACGGCCCUUACGUCCAGGGCUACACACGUGCUACAAUGGCCGAUACAGAGGGCAGCUACCUGGUGACAGGAUGCAAAUCUCCAAAGUCGGUCUCAGUUCGGAUCGGAGUCUGCAACCCGACUCCGUGAAGUUGGAUUCGCUAGUAAUCGCGCAUCAGCCAUGGCGCGGUGAAUACGUUCCCGGGCCUU
rnacentral:rRNA from 1 species